rnacentral:rRNA from 1 species
UGGGGAAUAUUGCGCAAUGGACGAAAGUCUGACGCAGCGACGCCGCGUGUGGGAGGAAGCCCUUCGGGGUGUAAACCACUGUCAGGGGGGAAGAACACUCGUUCGUCGAAUAGGCGUGCGGGCUGACGGUACCCCCAGAGGAAGCGCCGGCUAACGCCGUGCCAGCAGCCGCGGCAAGACGGAGGGCGCAAGCGUUGAUCGGAAUCACUGGGCGUAAAGCGCGGGUAGGCGGUCAGCUAAGUCUUCUGUGAAACUCCGGGGCUCAACUCCCGACAUGCAGAAGAUACUGGUAGACUAGAGACCGGUAGAGGCAAGCGGAAUUCCUGGUGUAGCGGUGGAAUGCGUAGAUAUCAGGAAGAACACCUGUGGCGAAGGCGGCUUGCUGGGCCGGUUCUGACGCUGAACUGCGAAAGCGUGGGGAGCAAACAGGAUUAGAUACCCCCGUAGUCC